UGGGGAAUAUUGGACAAUGGGGGCAACCCUGAUCCAGCCAUGCCGCGUGAGUGAUGAAGGCCUUCGGGUUGUAAAGCUCUUUUGGCGGGGACGAUGAUGACGGUACCCGCAGAAUAAGCCCCGGCUAACUUCGUGCCAGCAGCCGCGGUAAGACGAAGGGGGCUAGCGUUGUUCGGAAUUACUGGGCGUAAAGCGAGUGUAGGCGGUUGCCGUAGUCAGGUGUGAAAGCCUUGAGCUCAACUCAAGAAAUGCACCUGAUACUGGGUGACUAGAGGACCGGAGAGGAUAGUGGAAUUCCCAGUGUAGUGGUGAAAUACGUAGAGAUUGGGAAGAACACCAGUGGCGAAGGCGGCUAUCUGGACGGUUACUGACGCUAAGACUCGAAAGCGUGGGGAGCAAAACAGGAUUAGAUACCCUGGUAGUCCACGCCGUAAACGAUGGGUGCUAGACGUUGGCGAGCUUGCUCGUCAGUGUCGCAGCUAACGCGUUAAGCACCCCGCCUGGGGAGUACGGCCGCAAGGUUGAAACUUAAAUGAAUUGACGGGGGUCAUAGCUGUUUCCU
rnacentral:rRNA from 1 species